AGCGAACGCUGGCGGCAGGCUUAACACAUGCAAGUCGAACGGACACUUCGGUGUCAGUGGCGGACGGGUGAGUAACACGUGGGAACAUACCUCUUGGUUCGGAACAACACAGGGAAACUUGUGCUAAUACCGGAUAAGCCCUUACGGGGAAAGGAUUAUCGCCGAGAGAUUGGCCCGCCGUCUGAUUAGCUAGUUGGUGUGGUAAAAGACGCACCAAGGCGACGAUCAGUAGCUGGUCNGAGAGGAUGAUCAGCCACAUUGGG
rnacentral:rRNA from 1 species